ensembl:lincRNA
CACACAACCAGGAACUGAAGACCCAAAGCCUCUAGGUCAUGUGCCCUCUUACUUGGUACAUAGCACAUGGAUGCUCACACUUAACCCCAUGUAGCACUUCCGGGGCAGGUCAGAGAGUGACCCCAAACCCUUGGAAGACUGGAAGGUAUGCUAGUCAUCCCUCAGAGCUGGGUACUAGUACAUGGCUUCUGGGUCCCAGCCCAUCCUGAAAGCUGUGGAUAGAAGCCCCCAUUACAGCUUGUGGGGCCAAGACAAUGUUCUCUUCUCCAGGCAGCUGGCAGAGCCUGCUAGGUCCUGGGCGUCUGAAUGGCCCUCAAGAUAGACACUGGAGUCUGUAUCUAGACAGCCUGUGCCAAUGUCUACUCCCACCCAAGAAAAGGAGCCUUUCUUCCCUGCUGGCCAGAUCAGAGACUUCCAAAAGAUCAUCAGAGGUAGCCAGGCUGACCUUUGCUCAGGAAACAGAUUUCCUGGCCAUCCUUGUCUUUCUCUGCUUGGGAACCUCCAAGCUAGGAGGCAGUGUGUCAGAGGGCUUCCCUCCCCUUUGUGAGCCAGGCGGUCCCAUGGACCCAGACUGCAGGCUUCCCACUUGCCCCCCCUCCACUUGCUUCCUCCACAGCUUUGAAUGUGAAGGACCUUCUGCAGAACUCCCACUGUUGGCCUUGAAAGGGGCUUGCAUUGAAGGUUGCUUCAUGGUGUGUCAGGAGGUGCUGCUUCAUGGUGUGUCAGGAGGAAGGGACAAGAGACUUCAACACAACCCUUGUGUCCACUUUGAAGGCCAGAGAGGGAGCCAAAUGGAGAUUGCCAUGUGCUGAGAAGAUACAUCAUGGACAAGAAUAGAAGAGAUGUGGGGAGCCAAGGACCAGGAGCCUCCCAGAUGCCCAAGGCGAGAGCAGAACACACAGGACUAAGCAUGCAGAUGUAACAGUCGCUGAUCCUUUUCCACAGCACUGCAGUGGGUGUCUGAUGUCAUGAUCUCACUUAAUUGUCACACAACACAUUGUAGGCAAACUUACAAACAUAAGGAGAUUCAGAAAGACAUACACACAGUACAAAGACAAAGACAAAGCACCCCACCCCACCUCACCCCAAUCCAGACACACACAAAAAGGAUCUGAGCUACAAAGAUAAACAUAUAGGGUCGUCCCAAACACCAGGGGGCAGGGUGGAGUUGGCCUGGGAGCCUGCAAGUACCAACAAAUUAAAGCAAUGAGAAAAGCUAGGAGUGGAGUCCACACUUGUAAUCACAGGGCUUAGGAGGCUGGAGCCUUAAGAUCUCAAGUCCUAGGCCAGCAGAGGUGGCAUAGAGAGACCCGUGUUAGCAUUUCCCAACAAAACAACACUCAUAUUCAACCUGAUUUUAUGUGUUUGAGUUUUUUUGCUUGUUUGUUUUUUCGAGACAGGGUUUCUCUGUGUAGCUUUGGAGCCUGUCCUGGCACUCGCUCUGUAGACCAGGCUGGCCUCGAACUCAUGGAGAGCUACCUGCCUCUGCCUCCCAAGUGCUGGGAUCAAAGACUUGCACUGCUACACUCCGUGUAAACUAGAAUUUUUAAAGAAUGAUUUUAUUUUACUUGCGUGUAUCUGUGUAUGUGUGUGUGAUUGGGGUGGGGGAUGUUCACGUGUAUAUAGAUGUCCUUGGAGGUUGGAGGCACUAGAUGCCCUUGGCACUGGGGAUAUAAUCAAUUGUAAGUUGCCCAACGUGGGCCCUGGGAACUGAAUUCCAUCCUGCACUUAACUGAUGAGCCUUGAGUUUAUGAAAUCUUUUUGACAUUUGUUAGGUUGUAUAUGUGGGAAUCAGAGGACGACUUGUAGGAGUUGUUCUUCCACUCUGUGAGUCCUGGGCAUCAGAUUCAGGUCAUCAGGGUUGGCGACAGACACCUUUACUCACUGCGCC